GAUGAACGCUGGCGGCGUGCCUAAUACAUGCAAGUCGAGCGAACGGACGAGAAGCUUGCUUCUCUGAUGUUAGCGGCGGACGGGUGAGUAACACGUGGAUAACCUACCUAUAAGACUGGGAUAACUUCGGGAAACCGGAGCUAAUACCGGAUAAUAUUUUGAACCGCAUGGUUCAAAAGUGAAAGACGGUCUUGCUGUCACUUAUAGAUGGAUCCGCGCUGCAUUAGCUAGUUGGUAAGGUAACGGCUUACCAAGGCAACGAUGCAUAGCCGACCUGAGAGGGUGAUCGGCCACACUGGAACUGAGACACGGUCCAGACUCCUACGGGAGGCAGCAGUAGGGAAUCUUCCGCAAUGGGCGAAAGCCUGACGGAGCAACGCCGCGUGAGUGAUGAAGGUCUUCGGAUCGUAAAACUCUGUUAUUAGGGAAGAACAUAUGUGUAAGUAACUGUGCACAUCUUGACGGUACCUAAUCAGAAAGCCACGGCUAACUACGUGCCAGCAGCCGCGGUAAUACGUAGGUGGCAAGCGUUAUCCGGAAUUAUUGGGCGUAAAGCGCGCGUAGGCGGUUUUUUAAGUCUGAUGUGAAAGCCCCACGGCUCACCGUGGAGGGUCAUUGGAAACUGGAAAACUUGAGUGCAGAAGAGGAAAGUGGAAUUCCAUGUGUAGCGGUGAAAUGCGCAGAGAUAUGGAGGAACACCAGUGGCGAAGGCGACUUUCUGGUCUGUAACUGACGCUGAUGUGCGAAAGCGUGGGGAUCAAACAGGAUUAGAUACCCUGGUAGUCCACGCCGUAAACGAUGAGUGCUAAGUGUUAGGGGGUUUCCGCCCCUUAGUGCUGCAGCUAACGCAUUAAGCACUCCGCCUGGGGAGUACGACCGCAAGGUUGAAACUCAAAGGAAUUGACGGGGACCCGCACAAGCGGUGGAGCAUGUGGUUUAAUUCGAAGCAACGCGAAGAACCUUACCAAAUCUUGACAUCCUUUGACAACUCUAGAGAUAGAGCCUUCCCCUUCGGGGGACAAAGUGACAGGUGGUGCAUGGUUGUCGUCAGCUCGUGUCGUGAGAUGUUGGGUUAAGUCUCGCAACGAGCGCAACCCUUAAGCUUAGUUGCCAUCAUUAAGUUGGGCACUCUAAGUUGACUGCCGGUGACAAACCGGAGGAAGGUGGGGAUGACGUCAAAUCAUCAUGCCCCUUAUGAUUUGGGCUACACACGUGCUACAAUGGACAAUACAAAGGGCAGCGAAGCCGCGAGGUCAAGCAAAUCCCAUAAAGUUGUUCUCAGUUCGGAUUGUAGUCUGCAACUCGACUACAUGAAGCCGGAAUCGCUAGUAAUCGUAGAUCAGCAUGCUACGGUGAAUACGUUCCCGGGUCU
rnacentral:rRNA from 1 species